rnacentral:rRNA from 1 species
UACGGAGGGUGCAAACGUUGCUCGGAAUUAUUGGGCGUAAAGCGCACGUAGGCGGUCUAUCAAGUCGGAUGUGAAAGCCCCGGGCUCAACUCGGGAAGUGCGUUCGAAACUGACAGGCUUGAAUAUGGAAGAGGGUCGCGGAAUUCCCGGUGUAGAGGUGAAAUUCGUAGAUAUCGGGAGGAACACCAGUGGCGAAGGCGGCGACCUGGGCCGAUACUGACGCUGAGGAGCGAAAGCGUGGGGAGCGAACAGG